GGAGGCAGCAGUCGAGAAUCAUUCGCAAUGGGCGAAAGCCUGACGAUGCGACGCCGUGUGAGCGAAGAAGGCCUUAGGGUCGUAAAGCUCUUUCGCCUGGGAACAAGAGAAGUUGGCUAAUACCCAACAGAUUUGAGCGUACCAGGUAAAGAAGCACCGGCUAACUCCGUGCCAGCAGCUGCGGUAAUACGGAGGGUGCAAGCAUUAAUCGGAUUUAUUGGGCGUAAGGGUGCGUAGGCGGGAAUAAAAGUCAGAUGUGAAAUCCCGGGGCUCAACCUCGGAACAGCAUUUGAAACUCUAUCUCUAGAGGGUAGGCGGAGAAAACGGAAUUCCACAAGUAGCGGUGAAAUGCGUAGAUAUCGGGAGGAACACCAGUGGCGAAGGCGGCUUUCUGGUCUAUCUCUGACGCUGAGGAGCGAAAGCUAGGGGAGCAAACGGGAUUAGAUACCCCGGUAGUCC
rnacentral:rRNA from 1 species